rnacentral:rRNA from 1 species
UACAGAGGGUGCGAGCGUUGUCCGGAAUCACUGGGCGUAAAGGGCGCGUAGGCGGUCUCUUAAGCGUGUGGUGAAAGCCCGGGGCUCAACUCCGGGUCGGCCGUGCGAACUGGGGGACUGGAGCUUGUCAGAGGCAGGCGGAAUUCCGGGUGUAGCGGUGGAAUGCGUAGAGAUCGGGAAGAACACCAGUGGCGAAGGCGACGUGCUGGGUUGCACCUGACGCUGAGAUGCGAAAGUGUGGGGAGCAAACGGG